rnacentral:rRNA from 1 species
UACGAAGGGGGCGAGCGUUGUUCGGAAUUACUGGGCGUAAAGGGCGCGUAGGCGGCGACUCAAGUUAGAUGUGAAAGUCCUGGGCUUAACCUGGGGACUGCAUUUGAUACUGUAGGUCUCGAGUCCGGAAGAGGUGGGUGGAAUUCCUAGUGUAGAGGUGAAAUUCGUAGAUAUUAGGAAGAACACCGGUGGCGAAGGCGGCCCACUGGUCCGGUACUGACGCUGAGGUGCGAAAGCGUGGGGAGCAAACAGG